ACGAACGCUGGCGGCGUGCCUAAUGCAUGCAAGUCGCACGCACGGAGCUUGCUCCGUGAGUGGCGCACGGCUGAGUAUCACGUGGGAACGUGCCCUGGGGUGGGGGAUAACGGUGCGAAAGCGACGCUAAAUCCCGCAUACGCUCACCGCAAGGUGAGGAAAGCAGUAAUGCGCCCCGAGGAGCGGCCCGCGGCCCAUCAGGUCGUUGGGGGGGUAAUGGCCUCCCAAGCCGAUGACGGGUAGCUGGUCCGUGAGGACAAUCAGCCAGACUGGGGACUGAGACACGGCCCAGACUCCUACGGGAGGCAGCAGCAAGGAAUUUUCGUCAAUGGGCGCAAGCCUGAACGAGCAACGCCGCGUGGUGGAUGACGGCCUUCGGGUUUGUAAACACCUUUUGGGGGGGGAUGAUUGUGACAGUACCCCUCCGAAUCAGGCUCGGCUAACUCUGUGCCAGCAGCCGCGGUAAGACAGAGGAGCCAAGCGUUGUCCGGAUUGACUGGGCGUAAAGCGCACGCAGGCGGGUGCGCGCGUGGGGUGUGAAACCUGGCCGCUUAAACGGCCAGCGGCCAUCCCAUACGGCGCGCCUGGAGCCUUGCAGAGGGCGGUGGAAUUGCCGGUGUAGUGGUGAAAUGCGUAGAGAUCGGCAGGAACACCCAGGGAGAAAUCAGCCGCCUGGGCAAGUGCUGACGCUGAGGUGCGAAAGCGUGGGGAGCGAACCGGAUUAGAUACCCCGGGUAGUCCACGCGGUAAACGAUGGCCACUCGGCCUUUGAGGACGGAUUUUCCGGCCUUGGGGGCCUCAGCUAGCGCGGUAAGUGGCCCGCCUGGGAACUACGAGCGCAAGCUUAAAACUCAAAGGAAUUGGCGGGGGCCCGCACAAGCAGCGGAGCGUGUGGUUUUAAUUCGACGCAAACGCGCAGAAACCUUACCCAGGUUUUGACAUGCAGCUGCAAGGUGGUGAAAACCAUUCGCCUUCGAGGGUGCUGCACGGAUGCUGCAUGGCUGUCGUCAGCUCGUGUCGUGAGAUGUUGGGUUAAGUCCCGCAAACGAGCGCAACCCCUACGGUCAGUUACCUGUGUCUGGGCCGGACUGCCCAUCUUGGGAGGAAGGCGGGGAUGACGUCAAGUCCGCAUGGCUCUUACGCCUGGGGCGACACACACGCUACAAUGCCGGCGCCAAUGCGCAGCGACCCUGUAAAGGGAAGCAAAUCGUGAGCCGCCGGCCCAGUGCAGAUUGGGGGCUGCAACUCGCCCCCAUGAAGGCGGAGUUGCUAGUAACCGCGUAUCAGCCAUGGCGCGGUGAAUACGUACCCGGGCCUUGUACACACCGCCCGUCACGUCAUGGGAGUUGGCAAUGCUUGAAGUCCGUGGGCUGACCGCGAGUAAUCGUGGGGGCAGCGGCCGAGGGCAGGGCCAGCGACUGGGACG
rnacentral:rRNA from 1 species